rnacentral:rRNA from 1 species
GGUUAAGCGACUAAGCGUACACGGUGGAUGCCCUGGCAGUCAGAGGCGAUGAAGGACGUGCUAAUCUGCGAUAAGCGUCGGUGAGGUGAUAUGAACCGUUAUAACCGGCGAUUUCCGAAUGGGGAAACCCAGUGUGUUUCGACACACUAUCAUUAACUGAAUCCAUAGGUUAAUGAGGCGAACCGGGGGAACUGAAACAUCUAAGUACCCCGAGGAAAAGAAAUCAACCGAGAUUCCCCCAGUAGCGGCGAGCGAACGGGGAGGAGCCCAGAGCCUGAAUCAGUGUGUGUGUUAGUGGAAGCGUCUGGAAAGGCGUGCGAUACAGGGUGACAGCCCCGUACACAAAAAUGCACAUAUUGUGAGCUCGAUGAGUAGGGCGGGACACGUGGUAUCCUGUCUGAAUAUGGGGGGACCAUCCUCCAAGGCUAAAUACUCCUGACUGACCGAUAGUGAACCAGUACCGUGAGGGAAAGGCGAAAAGAACCCCGGCGAGGGGAGUGAAAAAGAACCUGAAACCGUGUACGUACAAGCAGUGGGAGCCUCUUAAUGGGGUGACUGCGUACCUUUUGUAUAAUGGGUCAGCGACUUAUAUUCUGUAGCAAGGUUAACCGAAUAGGGGAGCCGAAGGGAAACCGAGUCUUAACUGGGCGUUAAGUUGCAGGGUAUAGACCCGAAACCCGGUGAUCUAGCCAUGGGCAGGUUGAAGGUUGGGUAACACUAACUGGAGGACCGAACCGACUAAUGUUGAAAAAUUAGCGGAUGACUUGUGGCUGGGGGUGAAAGGCCAAUCAAACCGGGAGAUAGCUGGUUCUCCCCGAAAGCUAUUUAGGUAGCGCCUCGUGAAUUCAUCUCCGGGGGUAGAGCACUGUUUCGGCAAGGGGGUCAUCCCGACUUACC